rnacentral:rRNA from 1 species
CCUACGGGCGGCAGCAGUGGGGAAUAUUGGGCAAUGGGGGGAACCCUGACCCAGCGACGCCGCGUGAGGGAAGAAGGUUUUCGGAUUGUAAACCUCUGUCCUUGGUGAAGAGGAGAAGACGGUAGCCAAGGAGGAAGCCCCGGCUAACUACGUGCCAGCAGCCGCGGUAAUACGUAGGGGGCGAGCGUUGUCCGGAAUGAUUGGGCGUAAAGGGCGCGUAGGCGGCCAUGCAAGUCUGGAGUGGAAGUCCAUCUUUCAAGGGUGGAAUUGCUUUGGAAACUGUGUGGCUGGAGUGCAGGAGAGGUUAUCGGAAUUCCCGGUGUAGCGGUGAAAUGCGUAGAGAUCGGGAGGAACAUCAGUGGCGAAGGCGGGUAACUGGACUGCAACUGACGCUGAGGCGCGAAAGUGUGGGGAGCAAACAGGCUUAGAUACCCUUGUAGUC